GUGAAGUAAGGGGCAGCAGGCGUGUUAAGACGGUGGGUGCGGGCGUUGUUCGGAAUUAGUGGGCGUAAAGGGCGUGUAGGCGGUUUGUCGCGUCUGCUGUGAAAAGCCGGGGCUCAACCCCGGACUUGCAGUGGGUACGGGCAGACUAGAGUAUGGUAGGGGAGACUGGAAUUCCUGGUGUAGCGGUGAAAUGCGCAGAUAUCAGGAGGAACACCGAUGGCGAAGGCAGGUCUCUGGGCCACUACUGACGCUGAGAAGCGAAAGCAUGGGGAGCGAACAGGAUUAGAUACCCUAGUAGUC
rnacentral:rRNA from 1 species